rnacentral:rRNA from 1 species
UGCGUAGGCGGAAUGAUAAGUUAGUGGUGAAAGCCUCCGGCUCAACCGGAGAACUGCCAUUAAUACUGUCAUUCUUGAGUAUAGUUGAAGUGGGCGGAAUGUAUCAUGUAGCGGUGAAAUGCUUAGAUAUGAUACAGAACACCAAUAGCGUAGGCAGCUUGCUAAGCUAUAACUGACGCUCAGGCACGAAAGCGUGGGGAGCAAACAGGAUUAGAUACCCUGGUAGUCC